AUUUUAUUGUAUGCACGCAUUUGUAUAUAUUGUAAAUAUAUAUUUAUUUAACCACAAAAAAUUUUUUCUAAUUGCAGAUAAUGAUGCUUUGCUUCCUGAGCUUGGAUAGUGUGCGUGUGUUUACUUUUCUUUAUUCUUUAUUUUGUGUGCCUCUAUCAUAGAUAUUCCAUUUUCUCUCCUGAGUAGAAAGACUUUUAAGAACAAUGAGUAGUAGUCUUUACCUGCAGGAAAAUAUCUAGAUGUUCUUUCUACCAGAAACACCCACUCUCUUUUCUUGACUUAAAGGUAUGUGGAGUCUCUCCCUCACUACUGCAGCUACCACAAAUCUCCCCUUCUUCUGAACUUGCUUAAUAUUUUUGCCAUUCUUCCUAACUCUAAAUUGAGUACUAUGUCAUUUCCUGGUCCUUUCGUCUCAGGUAGAGAGGUAGCAUGCUUGUGCUGGUCUCGAUCCAACCCCACCCUUUUGUGCUCUGCUCUUGUAUUGCCUCCCAUGAGCUCUUGAUAGUUAAGGCCAUGGGACACACCAUCGAGGCUUGGAAACAGAAGGGAGAAGCCAGAGUAUUCCUCACUCUUUCCCUGCUUUCUGUGGAAUCUGGCAGGGUCCCACCGGACAGCCUCUCCCUACCUGGCCCCAGCUCUCCCUUGGACAGUUUCACCAGUGUUUCUGGCUUCCUCUGCCUGACAGCCCAGGUUUCUGGGCUCUGGUAACACUGUCUUCUCCCAGUGUCACCUGUGCAACAAGGGGAGAAGCCUCUUGGUUUUGCUAAAUCUUUGAGUUGCUUUUCCAUUCCCUAUUUGGCUUCUUCAUUCUUCCAUGCUUCUAUUUAAUGAAUCCUUUGUGAAAAAAAAAAUUCCCUUCCCCUGAAAGACCUACUUAUUCUCCAGGAUAGAUUCGCAAUUGCUACAACAGAUAGUAAAAAAGAGCAAAAGCUUGGAAGCUGGAGGGACGUAAAACUAAAUACUGUUGCUUACUCUGUGAACUUGGACGAGUGACUUAACUUCAUUCUGUAAACUGGCGGGGGGGGGGGUCACAAUACCUGCCUCAUUGGGCUGUUAUAAGUAUUAAAUAGCGUACAGGCCCAGUCAUGCUAUAGGGAUGGUGCCUGUGCUGUAGCUAGGACUCUGUCAAUGGUAGCUACCAUUAUUGAUUUAUAAAUUCCUUGACAGCAUGACUAUAAUAUUACUCUCUUUGUGUCCCAGUGCUUUAUGUAAAGCUGUUUGUCGCAGUCUUGUCUCUAAAAUUUUAUUUCAGCAGCAACUUAUUGAGCACCUGCUCCGUGCUAGCAAUUGUCUUAGGCACUAAUUCUAAGAAACAUGACAAAAAUAAAGCCCUUGCUUCCAAUGUGCUUGCAAUGUAAUGGGAAUAAGAGACGUGAUAACAACUACGUCUAUAGAAAGGCAAACACAGCAAACUGAGACACAUGUAACAUGGAUGGAUACAUGGCUGGAAGAAUGAGGACUGACUCUGCCUGCGAAUAUCAAGCCCAACUUCAAAGGAGCAUCAACUCUGCUGACUUUGAAGGAAGAGAAGACUUCCAACAAGCAAUGAAAGCAAGCAAGGGGAGCACAGGCUGAGGGAAUGGCGUGAACUAAUGAACCCCAUGUUUGCCCUUGUAAAUCACCCUCUUUCAUGCUGCCUCGUGUUUAUCUCCCUGCUACUGAAUGGUGUAGAAAUGAAAAGGUCACCUUAUACAUUUCUGGUCAGCAAGACAUUAAGAAUGGAAAUCAUGCUGAUAGUCCUGGAGAAGCCAUAUUUGGACAGGUACUAAAAACGACUCUUGGUGAUACAGUGGACGAAGUGGUAAUGAAAUUUAAAUAAAUGAACUUGGAUAGGCACGACAAGAGCUGUGGCGAUGGAGCUAAAGUACAGAGAAAAAGAGAAAGACAGAACCCAGCUUGCACUGAGUGCCAGUUGCCUUUACGCUGAAAGCAGAGACAAAGAUAGUGUUUCUUGUGGAUUAGAUGUGGGCUCAGCAGAAGACAGCCAACCUGGAGCCAUUUCAGAUUUCACUCAAGAGUCCUACUCAAAAAGAUGAAGUGACCCCAACAAAGGGCUGGUUCACCUGAUUCCCACUGCUGUGGGAGGAAAUAGAAGUGACCAGCGGGAGGUAAAUGUUUCACCCACAGUACAGGCAGUUCAAUGUGGGAGCCUCCAAAGUACCCAUGAAACCACCCACAAGAAGAAUAGUCAGCUUUGAACAUCCACCAGAAAAAGACAGCUUUAAACAUUUGCCACAGCCAGAGGAAACCAAUGCCAAAGUACCUUGGUGCCAGUCAGAUUUUUUUUAAGGGUAAAAGUCUAUAUUUGGAAGUGUCCUUUUAAUGAUCGUCUAUGAAUACAACCUACUUCAGACAUGGAAACAGCCUCCAGACAAACAAACAUGAUGAGGAGCAGAGAGAGAAUCCAAGCAGGCUGUCAGCAGGGAGCUCAAUGUUGGACUUGAUCCUGUGAACUGUGAGAACACGACCUGAGCCGAAAUCAAGAGUUGGAUGCCCAGCCAACUGAGCCAGCCUGGCACCCCUGGACUUUAUUUUUAUUAUAUACACAAUUUUUUAAGAUUUU